rnacentral:lncRNA from 1 species
AUCGGAUAGGGCGGGCUUGGCGCUGGCGAGGUGAGAGCUCCAAACUUGAAGCGGCGCCACGGCCAAGGUGUCCUCUGUCGCCAUUGCAGGAGCUGCGAGGGUGCGCGAAUCCGAAUGGUGGCUGAUUGGUGAACCUAGAGCACCCUUUGCCCCAGGUUCUAGCUCUGGCCCGGUUUUUUCUCUUUACAUUUAAGCUGUAGGCAGAGGAAAUCCUCGUUAGAGGCCUUCUCCCCACCCCGCUUCUCAGCCACAAACUGUUGUUUCAUUAGGAAUCUCACCAGAAACCCGUUUUCAGGUGAAGGCCGAGUACUCAGCCCCUUGUGGUGCCUGGUUUUACUUGAUCACAUUGUAAUUCCAUCCUAGGAACCACUCUAUAAGUUCACUUAACAGAGAGAAGUGGAGUGGUUCUUAGCAACCUUUUGCGAUGUAACUUAACCACCAAAGAGAUAUCUGGCUAAUAUGGCAGCUCUCGAGAAGUCCGUAUUUACACGUUGCGGGGAUAACGAUAGGCCUUCAUGCUGGUCCUGAGCUUUUACCGUGAUGCUUCCCCCGUUGCCCUCUGUUUGGAUGUCCAUUCCCACCUUUGGCCUGGGUUCCACUAAGUUAAAGAAAGAGGGGGAAAGCGACACCAAGAAUCCAUUCCAAACGAAAAACCAAGAGGAGACGCGGCAGCUCCUAGAUGUUGAUGUUUUGUUUUUUUGACAUAAAUCUUCGCACUCAUAUGGGAGUUUUCAUUGAUUCGUGUUCCCAUCUGCUGAAUUUCCUUUUAUUUAUUUAAUAUUGCUUUUUGGGGAAAUCUUGCUUCGAAGCUCUGGAGAAGCAUAAACCGUGGCAACCACUGCAGCCCUCCUCCCUCUUGCAAGCCUUGGCUGCUGGGGGCAGGGAGAUGCGGUGGCGUCCUGCGGAGUGGGUGCUGGGCAUCCUCCAGGAGGGGCUGGCGCUGCAGGCCUGCGCUAAUGUGGCAAUUCUGUCUUCCGAGCCUUCCAGAGGCAGGGGGAGAGGUAGAGUGAGGAAGGGAGGAAGAGAGGGGCAGACUGGCUGACUGUUCUUCGUGCUUCCUGCUCAUCCCCAACACUUCAUACGUCCCUUUCGCACUAAUGUACACUUUGCUUUUGACACCAUGGAUAGUAGGAAACGUCUAACAGUGGGCAUCUAUAUUAAUAAGAUUGUACAUCUCACCGUCCAAUCAGUACCCUUCCACCUCAAUAGUGAUCCAUCAGUAAUUACAGACUCCAACUCUGGAAUCAGACUGAAUCUUGACGACUUUCCAGAGGGAAUUCUUGAAUAAAUUUACUUUUUAAGAGCUUGGGGGGGGGGGAACUUUUGGGAUAGCAUUGGAAAUGUAAUUGAAGAAAAUACGUAAUAAAAAAAAAAGAGCUUUGGGUUUCCUACAUAUAAGAUAGGAACGAUUACUA